GGACGAAUCUUCUGCAAUGGGCGAAAGCCUGACAGAGCAAUGCCGCGUGUGGGAUGAAGCGUCUAUGACGUGUAAACCACUGUCAGGGGGCGGAACCAAUGAUUGCCCCCAGAGGAAGAGCCGGCUAACCCUGUGCCAGCAGCCGCGGUAAUACAGGGGCUCGAGCGUUACGCGGAAUCACUGGGCUUAAAGGGUGCGUAGGUGGCUCGCAAAGCAUUACGUGAAAGCCCCGGGCUCAACCCGGGAAUUG
rnacentral:rRNA from 1 species